rnacentral:rRNA from 1 species
UCCGUGACGGCGUGCCUUUUGCAUAAUGAGCCUACGAGUUACCGUUGCUAGCAAGGUUAAGGACUUCAGGUCCGGAUCCGUAGCGAAAGCGAGUCUGAAUAGGGCGCUUUAGUUAGUAGUGGUAGACGCGAAACCGUGUGAUCUACCCAUGGGCAGGUUGAAGCUGUAGUAACAUACAGUGGAGGCCCGAACCGGUUGACGUUGAAAAGUCUUCGGAUGACCUGUGGGUAGGGGUGAAAGGCCAAUCAAACUCGGAAAUAGCUCGUACUCCCCGAAAUGCAUUUAGGUGCAGCGUUGAUUUAUAGUUUUAUAGAGGUAGAGCUACUGAUUGGAUGCGGGGGCUUCACCGCCUACCAAUUCCUGACAAACUCCGAAUGCUAUAAAAUGUUAAUCAGCAGUGAGGGCAUGGGUGCUAAGGUCCAUGUCCGAGAGGGAAAGAACCCAGACCAUCAGCUAAGGUCCCCAAAUGUAUGUUAAGUUGAAUAAACGAGGUUGAACUGCUUAGACAGCUAGGAUGUUGGCUUGGAAGCAGCCAUUCAUUUAAAGAGUGCGUAACAGCUCACUAGUCGAGCGGUUCGGCAUGGAUAAUAAUCGGGCAUAAACAUACUACCGAAGCUAUGGACUUGUAAAAGUGGUAGGGGAGCAUUGUAGUGUCGUCGAAGGUGAAGCGUGAGCUUUGCUGGAGAAGCUACAAAAGAAAAUGUAGGCAUAAGUAACGAUAAUGCGGGCGAGAAACCCGCACUCCGAAAGACUAAGGUUUCCUCAGCUAUGCUAAUCAGCUGAGGGUUAGUCGGGACCUAACGCGAACCCGAAAGGGGUAGUGGAUGGACAACGGGUUAAUAUUCCCGUACCUGCUCACGCUAAAAGUGACGGAGGCGUAUAUUUGGUGCGAACUGACGGAAUAGUUCGUUGAAGGGAGCGGUAACGCCCCGAUAGUACACUGAGGCUACGGCCAAGGUGAUAAUCCAGAGAAGCGACUUCCAAGAAAAGCAAGUGAAGCAGCCCGUACCGCAAACCGACACAGGUAGUUGGGAUGAGAAUUCUAAGGUGCUCGAGAGAUUCAUGGCUAAGGAACUAGGCAAAAUAGACCUGUAACUUCGGGAGAAAGGUCGCCCCCCUCCGGGGGGGCCGCAGUGAAAAGGUCCAGGCGACUGUUUAUCAAAAACACAGGGCUUUGCUAAAUUGAAAGAUGAUGUAUAAGGCCUGACACCUGCCCGGUGCUGGAAGGUUAAGUGGAGUUGUUAGCUUCGGCGAAGCAAUGAAAUGAAGCCCCAGUAAACGGCGGCCGUAACAAUAACGGUCCUAAGGUAGCGAAAUUCCUUGUCGGGUAAGUUCCGACCUGCACGAAUGGCGUAACGA